rnacentral:rRNA from 1 species
UACGGAGGGUGCAAGCGUUAUCCGGAUUCACUGGGUUUAAAGGGUGCGUAGGAGGGUAGGUAAGUCAGUGGUGAAAUCUUCGAGCUUAACUCGGAAACUGCCGUUGAUACUAUCUAUCUUGAAUACCGUGGAGGUGAGCGGAAUAUGUCAUGUAGCGGUGAAAUGCUUAGAUAUGACAUAGAACACCAAUUGCGUAGGCAGCUUACUACACGAUCAUUGACGCUGAGGCACGAAAGCGUGGGGAGCAAACAGG